UCCUUAGUUCAGAAUGACAUAUAUACCUCAUCUUGCCUGCCUUUGGAAUUUCCAUGUCUACGUGGAUCCCCAUUAUCAAAUUUGAUUUUUUUCCUGUUAAUCUGUCUCAUGUCAAUUUGAUUCUAGAAGGACCUUUGAGUGGACAGGAAUUCUUGCUCCCUGACAAACUCUAAGCAGAUCUGUAACCAUGGCCAUUUUUAAUUCUUUUAGCAUUUACAGACAGUUAAUACUUUACUUGGAUGCUUCUCCAAAAGCUUCCUGCAAAUGCGUUUCAUCUUGAGAGAUUCAUAAAAAGGAAUUUUGACAAAUGCAGGGUUCUGAUAAUUUUAAGAUCAUAAAACUGAACUGGGUAAGAAUGUCUGGAACUAAAGGAAAAACUGAAUUUAAGCAGAUCAAGAAUAACAUAAACGAACUGAGGAGGAUAAUUAUAAGUUUAAUGACAUUUUUGUUUGAAACACUGACUUUUAAUGUUUUGUUUUUCCAGAUUUAAGAAAAGUUUUUCUCUUAAGCUAUGAUUCACAACAAUUUAUCUUUUUCUCCCUGUCUGAUCCCUCUAGAAUUCAAAAACUCUCAUUGAAUUCUUAUGUUUUUUUGACAACAUAUUUAUUUGGGUAAGUUCAAUGAGAGUUUGUUCUCCUUGCACAGGACAUGGUUAGAAACACUGGUUAUAUUACCAAGGCUUUGACUGGAAUGUCACAUUUGGGAGACAGGCAUAAAUUCAGAUAUGGCUAGAGAGUUUUAAGGCACUAAUGGUGAUCAUAUGGAGCCAGUAAAGCCUUUUGGAAGAAGAGCCUAAUACCCUGCUUGCAGGGCUCCCAGCAGGAGCCUCUCACCAGCCCUGCAAACUGAGUAUGAACAACUUGAUGAGCACUUCCGAAAAAGCUCAUACAUAAACGAUCUUCGUGCCUGGUGCUCUAUGGGCCACUCGAAAUGAUCACCAGAGACACUCAAGUUACAAACCAAGAAACUCCACCAGAUUGCCACUGCCUGCCCUCACUUUACGUAAAGAUGCUUUCGCGUGACAACUAGAAACCCUCUGGACUGGCUACAUUCAGGACUCAGAAACUGGUUUUAUAACUUGAUCCAAUCACUGGUCAUUAUUUUUCUUUUAAUUUCCAGAGAAAGGCCUUAUUUAUUACCUGGAUAAUUGAACCACAGGCCUAACUGUGAGAACACACUUGUAUCGCCGCCUCCCGAAGUGAGUUUAACUAAAAUGACCUAUCCUCAGAACUAAGACACUGGUUCAAGCAGACGGGACAAUUUAUCAGCUCAACUUUUAAAGCAAGAAAACGUCCAGGGAAGUUUCAGAAAAGGGAACCGUAGAGGCCAAGGGUAGGCCACCCCAAAAUGUGCCACUUUGGCAUACAAAUUAAAUAAAAAUUACUUAAGAAACAGCGGUUCAGAGACUCCUCUGUCACCCAGAAGGCCGGAAACACAUCUUCCAUGUGCAAAAUAGCCUCCCUGUACUAAGGAAGUAAAAGGACAUCCUUGUCGCCAGAGAUAGGGACUUCAAAACAGAGAAAGCUUCAGAAACGAACCUGGUUACUUUUUUUCUAACCCUACCAACUCAGCCUAAAUUCUGUUUAGGAUUCCCUCCUAACUGAAGUUUCCAAACACCUGCUUUCUUUAUCCUGUCAAUUCCUCAUAAAUGUAUUGUCUCUGUGUCUCAAAAGAAGAAAAAAAUCCCUGCCUUGGUCAUUUCUUCAGGUCUCAAUACCAGCCACUGUGCACACAUCCUUGAUUUUUUUGUUUUUUGAUUUUUCCUCCUGUGAACCUGUUUUGUGUAAAUUUAAUUCUUUGGCUGGCUGAAAGACCUUGAAGGUAGAGGAAGAAUUGUUCCUUCCCUACAAUCUCAAUGAGGUAGGCAGGACGAUGAUAAAAGAUAAAUACAA